CAGCCCUGUAGGAGACACCUCCAGAGAAAGUAACAGCUCUCAAUUGAUUAGCUGAGGAGACCGAUUUUGUAAAUCACUACUUUUCUAACAACACUGGCACAGAUGGCCAAGCAUUCUCCCUUUUCUCAGAGCUGGUUUUCCAUCCCGGAAAGAGAAUAAACAGAUGCUUUUACAGCUCGCCUUGGCGGGAAGAUCUGGCACAAAUGAAGUAUCUAUAAGGAGCAGCAGAGUCAAGGUGGUGAUCCUGUGGAUGAAUAACUGAAACCUGAUAUACUUGACAGCAGAAAAUAUAAAGCAAAUUGAAAAGGAGAGAGUGUGGAGAUAAAUAAGAAAAUGAAAGAACUGAUAAAGUCACUUGGAUUAAAAAA
rnacentral:lncRNA from 1 species